rnacentral:rRNA from 1 species
UCGGGACCAGAGAUUUAUCGGCAUUGGAGCGGCCUAUCUCCUAUCAGCUUGUUGGUGAGGUAACGGCUCACCAAGGCAACGACGGGUAGCGGGACUGAGAGGUUGGCCCGCCACAUCGGGACUGAGACACUGGCGCGGACCUCCACGGAGGGCUGCAGUAACGGAUAUUGGGCAAUGGGCGAAAGCCUGACCCAGCAAUGCCGCGUGCAGGAUGAAGCCCCUAGGGGUGUAAACUGCUGUCAGGGGUCAGAAAGCUGGUUUCGGCCAGUUGAUCAACCCCAGAGGAAGUCACGGCUAACUUCGUGCCAGCAGCCGCGGUAAUACGAAGGUGGCAAGCGUUAUUCGGAAUCAUUGGGCUUAAAGGGCACGCAGGCGGAACAGUGUGUGUUGUGUGAAAUCCCCCGGCUUAACCGGGGAAUUGCACAGCAAACUGCUGUUCUUGAGGCAGGUAGGGGUGCAUGGAACUCUUGGUGGAGCGGUGGAAUGCGUAGAUAUCAAGAGGAACGCCAGAGGUGAAGACGGUGCACUGGGCCUGUCCUGACGCUGAGGUGCGAAAGCGUGGGGAGCGAACGGGAUUAGAUACCCCGGUAGUCCACGCCGUAAACGAUGUCUACUAGGUCGUGGGUGUUCUGACACAUUCACGGCCGGAGCAAAAGUGUUUAGUAGACCGCCUGGGGAGUACGGCCGCAAGGUUAAAACUCAAAUGAAUUGACGGGGGCUCACACAAGCGGUGGAGCAUGUGGAUUAAUUCGAAGCAACGCGCAGAACCUUACCUGGGUUUGACAUGCUUGUAUGCCUUCUCUGAAAGGAGUUAGGUUGCCUUCGGGUGAAACUUGCACAGGUGCUGCAUGGCUGUCGUCAGCUCGUGUCGUGAGAUGUCGGGUUAAGUCCUUUAACGAGCGAAACCCUUGCCGUUAGUUGCCAGCGAGUAAUGUCGGGGACUCUAACGGGACUGCCGGUGUUAAACCGGAGGAAGGUGGGGAUGACGUCAAGUCCUCAUGGCCUUUAUGCCCAGGGCUUCACACGUGCUACAAUGGCAAUUACAGAGCGACGCGAUACCGCGAGGUGGAGCAAAUCGCAAAAAAAUUGCCUCAGUUCGGAUUGCAGGCUGGCAAUUCGCCUGCAUGAAGUCGGAAUCG